rnacentral:lncRNA from 1 species
CAUUACUGUCUCAACAAACAGCAAACCACCUUUGAGAAAGCUACUUAUCUGGUAUAGGCAUUAAUGGAGAAAGAUCCAGUUUACAGACAUUGAAACAUAUAAUAUACGAAGAAAGCCAAACAUCUUUCUAAACCGAAUCAUCCGAGGAGCUUUGACCUUGGCCAGCCAUGCCACGAGUCUACUUGUUAUGGAGAGGAUUCGAACCAGUUGGUACUGCCCUCUUCUCCUCCAAAGUAGCGUUGAUAGAAGAGUAGUAAGUAGGAGAAGGAGAAGAAGAUAUCGAGCCGAUCUCUUGAGCCAACGUGACGGAUGCAGCGACAACGGAGACCAAGACCAUCGUUAAGAUGAUGACUCUGCCGAGAUUGCCCAUCGGCGAUGAUCCCUGAGUAGUCGAUAAAAAUGAGAGCUUGUUGGGGACUCACCUUUGCUGGUUAUGGAUUAUAAUGGUGGAGAGGAAGGGAGUACAAAGGAGAGGCAGAAGAGAUAGUAAGAGCUCUGCCAUCUCUAAAGGAACAGGAAAGAAGUUGGGGGGGAGGAGUAGUAAAUGGACCGCCAGAAAGCUACCCCAGAGGCCUUUGAUCGCUGACCGCAUGAACAUUUAGUGCUCAUCUCUAAAGGGAACAAAAGGCUCCUCUUUUUGCACUCUUGUUAGCCCCACCAACUCUUAACUCUCUCUCUCUCUCUCUCUCUCUCUCUCUCUCUCUCUCUCU